UAUUCCAGUACAACAGAUAUCCGCCAGGGGACUACGAGCGCCAGCUUAAAACCCAAAGGACUUGGCGGUGCUUCAGACCCCCCUAGAGGAGCCUGUUCUAGAACCGAUAACCCCCGUUCAACCUCACUACUCCUUGCUUUUCCCGCCUAUAUACCACCGUCGCCAGCUUACCCUGUGAAGGCACUACAGUAAGCAGAAUGAGUAAUACUCAAAACGUCAGGUCGAGGUGUAGCGUACGAAGUAGGAAGAAAUGGGCUACAUUGUCUGAUCCAGAUUAUUCACGGAAGAUUGUCUGAAACGACAAUCCAAAGGUGGAUUUAGCAGUAAAGGGGGAAUAGAGUGCCCCCUUGAAGCCGGCUCUGAAGCGCGCACACACCGCCCGUCACUCUCCCCAACAACCGCCCACACCAAGGUAGAUAACACAACACCCGUCACAAGGGGAGGCAAGUCGUAACAUGGUAAGUGUACCGGAAGGUGCACUUGGAAUAAU
rnacentral:rRNA from 1 species